AGUGAACGCUGGCGGUAGGCCUAACACAUGCAAGUCGAGCGGCAGCACAGUAAGAGCUUGCUCUUACGGGUGGCGAGUGGCGGACGAGUGAGGAAUACAUCGGAAUCUACUUUUUCGUGGGGGAUAACGUAGGGAAACUUACGCUAAUACCGCAUACGACCUACGGGUGAAAGCAGGGGAUCUUCGGACCUUGCGCGAUUGAAUGAGCCGAUGUCGGAUUAGCUAGUUGGCGGGGUAAAGGCCCACCAAGGCGACGAUCCGUAGCUGGUCUGAGAGGAUGAUCAGCCACACUGGAACUGAGACACGGUCCAGACUCCUACGGGAGGCAGCAGUGGGGAAUAUUGGACAAUGGGCGCAAGCCUGAUCCAGCCAUACCGCGUGGGUGAAGAAGGCCUUCGGGUUGUAAAGCCCUUUUGUUGGGAAAGAAAAGCAGCAGGUUAAUACCCCGCUGUUCUGACGGUACCCAAAGAAUAAGCACCGGCUAACUUCGUG
rnacentral:rRNA from 1 species